AUAUCAAUAAGGCGAGGAACAGAAACCAACAGGGAUUCCCUCAGUAGUGGCGAAUGAAGCGGGAAAAGCUCAAGUUUGAAAUCUGGAGGGUGACCUCCAGAGUUGUAAGCUGAUGAGGUGUCGACCGACGCGGUUCGGGCUCAAUUUCCUUGGAACAGGAAGUCAUGGAGGGUGAGAACCCCGUCUAUGGCUCGAGUGCCGUCGUCCUUGUGUCGUAUCCUCCAAGAGUCGGGUUGUUUGGGAAUGCAGCUCAAAAUGGGUGGUAAAUUUCAUCUAAAGCUAAAUACUGGCGAGAGACCGAUAGCGAACAAGUAGAGUGAUCUAAAGAUGAAAAGUACUUUGAAAAGAGAGUGAAACAGUAC
rnacentral:rRNA from 1 species